rnacentral:lncRNA from 1 species
UGCUGAGGUACAUUUUCAGCUCUUUUUUAUUUUGAGACAGGGUCUAGCCAAGUCACUAAGUUGUCCAGGUUGGGCUCAAAUUUGAGAUCCUCCUGCCUCUGCCUCCCCAAAUGCUGAAAUUAUAAGCAUAUGCCAACACACACCCAGGAGCUUACUACUUUUGUUCCUUCAGUUUUCUUAGACAGAAGAACUGAAACAAGUGGAAACAGAGACUAGGAAGUGGUCAUUUCUGCAGGAGGGCCCAGCGAGGGGCGUGCCUCAGGUCCGGAAGUGGGGUCGGCUGAUGGCAACAGCAGGGAGGGCCGUGCUCCUGGAGAGAUGCAUCCUCAGGCUCUGCAGUGGUGAGUAACGGCUGUAACAGCAGAAGCAUCAGGCA